rnacentral:rRNA from 1 species
GAUGAACGCUGGCGGUAUGCUUAACACAUGCAAGUCGGACGGGAAACACGGGUCACGGUGUUUCCAGUGGCGAACGGGUGAGUAACGCGUAAGAACCCGCCCCUGGGAGGGGAACAAAAGCUGGAAACGGCUGCUAAAAACUCGUAGGCAGAGGGGCAGAAGGAGGAAUCCGUGCGAGGAUGGGUUCGGGUCUGAUUAGGUAGCUGGUGAGGUCAUAGCUUACCAGAGCGAGGUACAGAAGCUGGUUCGAGAGGAUGACCCGCCACACCGGGACUGAGACCCGGCCCAGACUCGUACGGGAGACAGGAGAAGGUUGUUUUCCGCAAGGGGCGAUGGCCUGACGGAGCAGUGCCGCGUGUGAGUAGAUUGCCCUCGUAUCGUGAACUUCUUUGCCCGGAGAAUAUUCAAUGACGGUAUCUGUAGAAGAAGCAUCGGCUAACUCUGUG